rnacentral:rRNA from 1 species
GAGUUUGAUCCUGGCUCAGAGCGAACGCUGGCGGCAGGCUUAACACAUGCAAGUCGAGCGGGCGUAGCAAUACGUCAGCGGCAGACGGGUGAGUAACACGUGGGAACGUACCUUUUGGUUCGGAACAACUGAGGGAAACGUUCAGCUAAUACCGGAGUAAGCCUAACGGGAAAGGAUUAUCGCCGAAAGAUCGGCCCGCGUCUGAUUAGCUAGUUGGUGAGGUAAUGGCUCACCAAGGCGACGAUCAGUAGCUGGUCUGAGAGGAUGAUCAGCCACACUGGGACUGAGACACGGCCCAGACUCCUACGGGAGGCAGCAGUGGGGAAUAUUGGACGAAUGGGGGCGAACCCUGAUCCAGCCGAUGCCGCGUGAGUGAUGAAGGCCCUAGGGUUGUAAGCUCUUUUGUGCGGGAAGAUAAUGACGGUACCGCAAGAAUAAGCCCCGACUAACUUCGUGCCAGCAGCCGCCGCGGUAAC